GCGGACAGGGCAGGGCUCAGGGCUCCGCUCUCAGUGCCCAAGCCCCCAGGGAGACACAAGGUACCCGGCCGGGGCGGGGUGGGGGGGGUGCAGAGACCCAAACCAAGGAGGCACAGAAGAAAGCGGGGAAAUGCAUUUGCUGGAACAAGGAGCAGACACAGCCUGGAACUGCCGAGUUUCAGCUCAGACUGAUCAUCUCUCUGGGGCUCUUUUGUCAGGUCCGAAUCCUGGACCCUCCAUGCAACAGCCGGAGAAGAAAGAAAGAGAAGGAGGCCUCAUCCCCUCCUCACCUCCUCCACUCGGCGGCACAGGAAUACAAGCGGAAGAAUGGGCCUGGGCAGGUGGCCUGGGAGACCUGGAGAGGCAGGACUGGCAGCCCAAGCGCCCACCCCAAACCUUAGCCUGGAAUGGCUGGACCCCGGAGCCAGAGGAGGAGGGACACUGGUAGGUGUGAGGAGAGGAAGUGCCAAAAAUGCCUGGACAGGAGUUCCCGUCACUGCGCAGCAGAAACGAAUCUACUAGGAACCAUGAGGUUGCUGGUUCGAUCCCUGGCCUCGCUCCGUGGGUUCAGGAUCCGGCGUUGCUGUGAGCGGUGGUGUAGGUCACAGACGUGGCUCAGACCUAGCGUGGCUGUGGCUCUGGUGUAGGCUGGCGGCUGUAGCUCCAAUUGGACCCCUAGCCUGGGAACCUCCACAUGCUGUGGGUGCCGCCCUAAAAAGCAAAAAUACAUAAAUCGAUAAAACAAAAUCCAGCAUCUCCCUAGCAGGUGAUUCCCAAAGAUCUUACAGAGACCCAGAGUCGGUCCCGUGUACAAGGAAGGCGGCGGGGCGGGGGGGAGCCUCUGGGGCCUGGGUGAGGAGCUCUAGUGACCGAGGGGGCUUCCGCCGACCCUCAGCAAGUCCUGGGGACCUGUGCUACCUGGGCCCUUAGAGACAAGGCCCAGUGCUCCGCUCUCUUGCUGGGGAACCUGAAGAUGAGAAGAGGGUCACAGACAGGGCCUGUCUGCCAUUUGGAAGUGACCUUGCACAGGCUCUGUCCUGUCUCCUCUGUCCUUUUACUGCAUGACUUGAAUCAGUUUUGAUUCUAUUUGUACGUUUUUCUCAUCGCUAGGAACCUGCCACUUCGGGUGCAUUUUCCCUGGC
ensembl:lncRNA